CGAAAAUUCGGAGUCUUCCGCUGCUGAGCAAGAGCUGGCUCUACCGCAAUGGCCCUCUCACGGGAGAACUGCGGCUUUGAAGCGCACCGCGCGGCCACCGACCGUAUAUACCAAGUCGGAGGACUGCUACGUCAUCACGAAAAGAGAUGGGACCAGAGAACACUGUUACAUGAAUCUAAAGUCACCAUGCUAAAUUAAUCUCACAAAGAUGGAUCUCCAAGGGGUCAUGCAGAGUGGGGAAACCAAGGACAACCAGUCUCCAAGGGAUACCCGUCACACCAUCCCACUUCUGGUCUCACAGUGUGGUCCUGCUGACCUGAGAUUCCUGAUCGUCUACCCUAUCCUCCAGAGUUCUGUCUGGGAUCACACCUGUGCCAUCACACCUGCCUAACAAAAACAAUUUGCUGUAUCCUCUGAGACCGGCUGAACACAGAUCAGGAAUACCUGAUGUUAACAUCAAGGACAUCUGUAAAGCCUGGAGGAGCCCCAUAGGCUACCUGACUCCAGGCCACUCGGUUUAAGGCUUCAGAGUCCUAGCUUCACUCACUCAUCAGGUAAACUGUAAAGACCUUUGCUCAAGAGUCCAGGUGAGUGAGGAAAACAUUCCGUUAUCAGUCUCUUAGGAAACCUUCCCCCUGGACAAAUUCUGUGUAUCUUGUCAGCCCUUCUAAGAAAUCACCUGCUCUGCUCUUCUAAGGAAACAGGAAUAAAUGGAACCCUCUGGAA